UGGGGUCUUAACUGCCUUCCAAAGGGCCUCAAGCCAUAUCCAGCAGACUUUCUGGGAUCUCAGGUUUUUCCUCCUGAAAAUCCAUGAAAAUCAGUCACCCUGAAAACAAAAGAUUUUCUCCAGGAAGAGUGGACAGUGGAACAAACUAUGAUCUGGCGCAUUUAAAAAAAAAAGAAAGGAAAAAAAAAAGGAAGGAAUUUCAACUACUGAGACCAAGUGCAUUUGGAGUCUGAGAUUUAUCAUACUUUAAAAGCACCUAAUAAGUAUUUUAUACUGUAAAAAAUUUGGAAAUGUUUAGAACAUUAUUAAAUGUUUAAAAUGCAAA